rnacentral:rRNA from 1 species
UACGAAGGUGGCAAGCGUUACUCGGAUUUACUAGGGCGUAAAGGGCAGGUAGGUGGUUUGAUAAGUCUGCUGUGUAAGCUCCCGGCUUAACUGGGAGAGGUCAGCGGAUACUGUCAGGCUUGAGUAUGGGAGAGGGUACUGGAAUUCCUGGUGUAGCGGUGAAAUGCGCAGAUAUCAGGAGGAACACCAAUGGCGAAAGAGGUACCUGGACCAUUACUGACACUCAGCUGCGAAAGCUAGGGGGAGCAAACAGG